rnacentral:rRNA from 1 species
UACGUAGGGACCAAGCGUUGUUCGGAUUUACUGGGCGUAAAGGGCGCGUAGGCGGCGUGGUAAGUCACUUGUGAAAUCUCUGAGCUUAACUCAGAACGGCCAAGUGAUACUGCUGUGCUAGAGUGCAGAAGGGGCAAUCGGAAUUCUUGGUGUAGCGGUGAAAUGCGUAGAUAUCAGGAGGAACACCGAUGGCGAAGGCAGGUCUCUGGGCCAUAACUGACGCUGAGAAGCGAAAGCAUGGGGAGCGAACAGG